CCUACGGGAGGCUGCAGUAAGGAAUAUUGGUCAAUGGACGAAAGUCUGAACCAGCCAUGCCGCGUGAAGGAUGAAGGUCCUCUGGAUUGUAAACUUCUUUUAUCUGGGACGAAAAAAGGGAAUUCUUUCCCACUUGACGGUACCAGAGGAAUAAGCACCGGCUAACUCCGUGCCAGCAGCCGCGGUAAUACGGAGGGUGCAAGCGUUAUCCGGAUUCACUGGGUUUAAGGGGUGCGUGGAAGUCUCUGUUGAAAUCUCCGAGCUUAACUCGGAAACUGCCGUUGAUACUAUAGGUCUUGAAUCAUCUGGAGGUAAGCGGAAUAUGUCAUGUAGCGGUGAAAUGCUUAGAUAUGACAUAGAACACCAAUUGCGAAGGCAGCUUACUACGGAUGCAUUGACACUGAGGCACGAAAGCGUGGGGAUCAAACAGGAUUAGAUACCCGAGUAGUC
rnacentral:rRNA from 1 species